rnacentral:rRNA from 1 species
UGGAUGAACGCUAGCUACAGGCUUAACACAUGCAAGUCGAGGGGCAGCAUUUUAGUUUGCUUGCAAACUGAAGAUGGCGACCGGCGCACGGGUGAGUAACACGUAUCCAACCUGCCGAUAACUCCGGGAUAGCCUUUCGAAAGAAAGAUUAAUACCGGAUAGCAUACGAAUAUCGCAUGAUAUUUUUAUUAAAGAAUUUCGGUUAUCGAUGGGGAUGCGUUCCAUUAGUUUGUUGGCGGGGUAACGGCCCACCAAGACUACGAUGGAUAGGGGUUCUGAGAGGAAGGUCCCCCACAUUGGAACUGAGACACGGUCCAAACUCCUACGGGAGGCAGCAGUGAGGAAUAUUGGUCAAUGGGCGAGAGCCUGAACCAGCCAAGUAGCGUGAAGGAUGAAGGCUCUAUGGGUCGUAAACUUCUUUUAUAUGGGAAUAAAGUUUUCCACGUGUGGAAUUUUGUAUGUACCAUAUGAAUAAGGAUCGGCUAACUCCGUGCCAGCAGCCGCGGUAAUACGGAGGAUCCGAGCGUUAUCCGGAUUUAUUGGGUUUAAAGGGAGCGUAGGUGGAUUGUUAAGUCAGUUGUGAAAGUUUGCGGCUCAACCGUAAAAUUGCAGUUGAAACUGGCAGUCUUGAGUACAGUAGAGGUGGGCGGAAUUCGUGGUGUAGCGGUGAAAUGCUUAGAUAUCACGAAGAACUCCGAUUGCGAAGGCAGCUCACUAGACUGUCACUGACACUGAUGCUCGAAAGUGUGGGUAUCAAACAGGAUUAGAUACCCUGGUAGUCCACACAGUAAACGAUGAAUACUCGCUGUUUGCGAUAUACAGUAAGCGGCCAAGCGAAAGCAUUAAGUAUUCCACCUGGGGAGUACGCCGGCAACGGUGAAACUCAAAGGAAUUGACGGGGGCCCGCACAAGCGGAGGAACAUGUGGUUUAAUUCGAUGAUACGCGAGGAACCUUACCCGGGCUUAAAUUGCAACAGAAUAUAUUGGAAACAGUAUAGCCGUAAGGCUGUUGUGAAGGUGCUGCAUGGUUGUCGUCAGCUCGUGCCGUGAGGUGUCGGCUUAAGUGCCAUAACGAGCGCAACCCUUAUCUUUAGUUACUAACAGGUUAUGCUGAGGACUCUAGAGAGACUGCCGUCGUAAGAUGUGAGGAAGGUGGGGAUGACGUCAAAUCAGCACGGCCCUUACGUCCGGGGCUACACACGUGUUACAAUGGGGGGUACAGAAGGCGGCUACCUGGUGACAGGAUGCUAAUCCCAAAAACCUCUCUCAGUUCGGAUCGAAGUCUGCAACCCGACUUCGUGAAGCUGGAUUCGCUAGUAAUCGAGCAUCAGCCAUGGCGCGGUGAAUACGUUCCCGGGCCUUGUACACACCGCCCGUCAAGCCAUGAA